rnacentral:rRNA from 1 species
GUGCCAGCCGCCGCGGUAAUACCGGCAGCCCGAGUGAUGGCCGAUCUUAUUGGGCCUAAAGCGUCCGUAGCCAGCCGAACAAGUCCGUUGGGAAAUCCACCUGCCCAACAGGUGGGCGUCCGGCGGAAACUGUGUGGCUUGGAACCGGAAGGCUCAGAGGGUACGUCCGGGGUAGGAGUGAAAUCCCGUAAUCCCGGACGGACCACCGAUGGCGAAAGCACUCUGAGAAGACGGCUUCGACAGUGAGGGACGAAAGCUAGGGUCUCAAACCGGAUUAGAUACCCGUGUAGUCC